rnacentral:rRNA from 1 species
GACGAACGCUGGCGGCGUGCCUAAUACAUGCAAGUCGAACGAGAGCGACCGGUGCUUGCACUGGUCAAUCUAGUGGCGAACGGGUGAGUAACACGUGGGUAACCUGCCCAUCAGAGGGGGAUAACAUCCGGAAACGGAUGCUAAAACCGCAUAGGUCUUCGAGCCGCAUGGCUUGAAGAGGAAAAGAGGCGCAAGCUUCUGCUGAUGGAUGGACCCGCGGUGCAUUAGCUAGUUGGUGAGGUAACGGCUCACCAAGGCCGUGAUGCAUAGCCGACCUGAGAGGGUGAUCGGCCACAUUGGGACUGUGACACGGCCCAAACUCCUACGGGAGGCAGCAGUAGGGAAUCUUCCGCAAUGGACGCAAGUCUGACGGAGCAACGCCGCGUGAGUGAAGAAGGUUUUCGGAUCGUAAAACUCUGUUGUUAGAGAAGAACAAGUGCUAGAGUAACUGUUAGCGCCUUGACGGUAUCUAACCAGAAAGCCACGGCUAACUACGUG